rnacentral:rRNA from 1 species
AGAGUUUGAUCCUGGCUCAGGAUGAACGCUGGCGGCGUGCCUAAUACAUGCAAGUCGAGCGAACAGACGAGGAGCUUGCUCCUUUGACGUUAGCGGCGGACGGGUGAGUAACACGUAGGUAACCUACCUAUAAGACUGGGAUAACUUCGGGAAACCGGAGCUAAUACCGGAUAAUAUUUCGAACCGCAUGGUUCGAUAGUGAAAGAUGGCUUUGCUAUCACUUAUAGAUGGACCUGCGCCGUAUUAGCUAGUUGGUAAGGUAACGGCUUACCAAGGCAACGAUACGUAGCCGACCUGAGAGGGUGAUCGGCCACACUGGAACUGAGACACGGUCCAGACUCCUACGGGAGGCAGCAGUAGGGAAUCUUCCGCAAUGGGCGAAAGCCUGACGGAGCAACGCCGCGUGAGUGAUGAAGGUCUUCGGAUCGUAAAACUCUGUUAUUAGGGAAGAACAAACGUGUAAGUAACUGUGCACGUCUUGACGGUACCUAAUCAGAAAGCCACGGCUAACUACGUGCCAGCAGCCGCGGUAAUACGUAGGUGGCAAGCGUUAUCCGGAAUUAUUGGGCGUAAAGCGCGCGUAGGCGGUUUUUUAAGUCUGAUGUGAAAGCCCACGGCUCAACCGUGGAGGGUCAUUGGAAACUGGAAAACUUGAGUGCAGAAGAGGAAAGUGGAAUUCCAUGUGUAGCGGUGAAAUGCGCAGAGAUAUGGAGGAACACCAGUGGCGAAGGCGAUUUUCUGAUCUGUAACUGACGCUGAUGUGCGAAAGCGUGGGGAUCAAACAGGAUUAGAUACCCUGGUAGUCCACGCCGUAAACGAUGAGUGCUAAGUGUUAGGGGGUUUCCGCCCCUUAGUGCUGCAGCUAACGCAUUAAGCACUCCGCCUGGGAGUACGACGCAAGGUUGAAACUCAAAGGAAUUGACGG